AAAAUGGCCCUUUUCAGGGCCACAAAUUCAUCACGAAGAGUGAAA
rfam:Culex pipiens quinquefasciatus supercont3.422 genomic scaffold, whole genome shotgun sequence.